rnacentral:rRNA from 1 species
CCGCGGGAUUAGAGUUUGAUCCUGGCUCAGAACGAACGCUGGCGGCAGGCUUAACACAUGCAAGUCGAACGCUCGUAGCAAUACGGGAGUGGCAGACGGGUGAGUAACGCGUGGGAACAUACCCUCCGGUUCGGAAUAGCUCAGGGAAACUUGGAUUAAUACCGGACACGGCUGAGAGGCGAAAGAUUUAUCGCCGGAGGAUUGGCCCGCGUUCGAUUAGCUUGUUGGUGAGGUAACGGCUCACCAAGGCGAUGAUCGAUAGCUGGUCUGAGAGGAUGAUCAGCCACAUUGGGACUGAGACACGGCCCAAACUCCUACGGGAGGCAGCAGUGGGGAAUAUUGGACAAUGGGCGCAAGCCUGAUCCAGCCAUGCCGCGUGAGUGAUGACGGCCUUAGGGUUGUAAAGCUCUUUCGCUCGGGACGAUAAUGACGGUACCGAGAUAAGAAGCCCCGGCUAACUUCGUGCCAGCAGCCGCGGUAAUACGAAGGGGGCUAGCGUUGUUCGGAAUUACUGGGCGUAAAGCGCGUGUAGGCGGGUCUUUAAGUCAGGGGUGAAAUGCCAAGGCUCAACCUUGGAACUGCCUUUGAUACUGGGGAUCUUGAGUCCGAGAGAGGUGAGUGGAAUUGCGAGUGUAGAGGUGAAAUUCGUAGAUAUUCGCAAGAACACCAGUGGCGAAGGCGGCUCACUGGCUCGGAACUGACGCUGAGACGCGAAAGCGUGGGGAGCAAACAGGAUUAGAUACCCUGGUAGUCCACGCUGUAAACGAUGGAUGCUAGCCGUUGGGGAGCUUGCUCUUCAGUGGCGCAGCUAACGCUUUAAGCAUCCCGCCUGGGGAGUACGGUCGCA